UCGCUGAUUCCUCUGUUCGAUUCCUUCUUCUUCCUCGACGCCGCCACUUUCUUUCCUUCCUCUUUGCCGAGCGACGUCGCCCUUCCUUUUCCUCUCUUCUGGCCGACACUGCCGAGCUCUCCCCUCUGCUCAUCCUUUUUGCUCUUCCUCGAUCAACCGACGCCAGCAGAUGAAAGCCACCCGAGCGCCACUCGAUUGCCGACGCCGACCCUGAGCUCCGAUCCGACCGUCACAUUCCUCUCCUGGUCGUAGACACUCAGAGUUUGCUGGAAAUUGAGCAAGGAGCCCUGGAUCUUGCCAACACCUCCUAUCUUUGUCUUCUCUUUGAGCCUUCUCCUUACAUCCUCGCGAACACAUCACGUCGCUCGCCCUCGUGUGUCGGCGCCCUUGCCAACGCCGCAAAUCGAUGCCAUCUCCCGAUUAUCUUCUCUGAUUGCUUGAUUGCCACAGUAGCCACGCGCCACACUGCCCCGAUCCACCGUCGCUCACCCUCAUUCUACAUCGCCAGUGCUGUUCUGCUACACUGCUGGCUGACUUUCGGAUAAGGGCAAGAGGUAGCAGCUUCGUGCCCUAGCUCCAUACCGCUGCUAACUCUCACAAGUUCCCAUCUCUCGAUCUCUGUAGCUCCUGUGGUUGGCCUUCUUCCAUCCUCAACUAAAUCAUCAGUCGUUGCCCUUUCCUCUGUGACCACUGUAGCGACUCCGUCGAGUAGUUGCGGAUUUCGUUAAGGGGACUUAGAUUCGGGACGAGCGUCUCGACGUGGAUUGUCUGAUAUGAUCUUCCUUUUAAGACAGGUGACAUGUUGUAUAUGGUCUGACUAUCCUUAUGUUCAGAUAGGAGGUCUUGGCAUCAGGUAGAUAUUUGUGGAGUCGCUUGGAGUAUCCUGUCUGUCGGUUCCCACGUCACAUCCGAAGACCUAUUUUCUGGUUUCUUUAGUACUUUAUUUGGUUUAUGUAUUCGGUGUACUUAGCUUUGUAUAUUCCAAUUUUGUUUCUAGAUUGUUGUGAUAUGGUGUCUUGUAUUAUUUUGUUGUGUGGUGUAAGCCUAGCCGGCAAGCAGUCUUAUUUUGUUUGUUUGUAAUGGUUUCUAUCGUUUUCCACUCUGUUUUUUGUUUGUUUUUUUA